rnacentral:rRNA from 1 species
CUCGUAGGCGGUUCGUCGCGUCCGGUGUGAAAGUCCAUCGCUUAACGGUGGAUCCGCGCCGGGUACGGGCGGGCUUGAGUGCGGUAGGGGAGACUGGAAUUCCCGGUGUAACGGUGGAAUGUGUAGAUAUCGGGAAGAACACCAAUGGCGAAGGCAGGUCUCUGGGCCGUCACUGACGCUGAGGCUCGAAAGCAUGGGUAGCAAAACA